GGGUGCAGCCACAUGGGAAUGAAAGCCGGUCCACCUGAGCAGUAACGAAAGAGUUAAGCUGUCUCCUUAGAAAUAUGGUGAGACACGCUAUCGUGCUUUGCAGAAACUGAAGAAGAAACGAAAAAACCAGCUUACGGACGUGUACACAAGAAGAGAAGACGACAGACACUCGCUGGAACUGGCAACAGGUUUAAUGAAACCAUCACACAUAACGUUCCCAGGAUCUGGAAUAUGCCGGUUGGCCACCAUCACCGUUUGCUCAAUGGGCCUCAGCCUCAGCACUGCAGUCAUCGGGAGUGCUGCAUUGUGCCACACUUCAGAAGCCCUCAGCAGCUUUGCGAAGCAUGACCAAACCUUUGGCACUUAUUACAGCGUCGUGGGUUUGGGAUGUGGUCUCACAUGUAAUUUCAGGCAGCCCGUUUCUAUGGCAUCAGGGACAGUGCUAGAUGCAAAUGUCAAUUUUAAGUGUCUGGUUGGUAGUUCUUUGUUUUCUUGCCUAAUUUUUAUGCGCUGCACUUGUAUCCCGUUUUCAUCUUUCCCUCCGGCAAGGAGUUCGCCAUUAGUCAAAUAAAUUAGGUCGUUAUCUGACAUGAUACAUAUGGUGUUCAUUGUUUGGUGGGCAGCGACAGUGAUGCACUUGUCCCCAAA